rnacentral:rRNA from 1 species
UACAGAGGUCCCAAGCGUUGUUCGGAUUCACUGGGCGUAAAGGGUGCGUAGGUGGUGAGGUAAGUCGGAUGUGAAAUCUCCGAGCUCAACUCGGAAAUGGCAUUGGAAACUACCUUGCUCGAGGGUUGGAGGGGGGACUGGAAUGCUUGGUGUAGCAGUGAAAUGCGUAGAUAUCAAGCGGAACACCAGUGGCGAAGGCGAGUCCCUGGACAACUCCUGACACUGAGGAGCGAAAGCGUGGGGAGCGAACAGG